rnacentral:tRNA from 1 species
GCCGGUGGAGCACGACUGGUCGUGCACUCGUUUCGUAAUCGAGAGGCAGCGGGUUCGAGUCCCGCCUCCGGCUC